rnacentral:rRNA from 1 species
CUACGGGCCGCAGCAGUAGGGAAUUUUCCACAAUGGGCGAGAGCCUGAUGGAGCAACGCCGCGUGCAGGAUGAAUGCCUUCGGGUUGUAAACUGCUUUUAUGUGCGAAGAAUUUGACUGUAACACAUGAAUAAGGAUCGGCUAACUACGUGCCAGCAGCCGCGGUCAUACGUAGGAUCCAAGCGUUAUCCGGAAUUACUGGGCGUAAAGAGUUGCGUAGGUGGUAUGUUAAGUGGAGCGUUAAAGCGUGCGGCUCAACCGCAUUGUUGCGUUCCAAACUAGCACACUAGAGGACGAGAGAGGUUAUUGGAAUUCCCAGUGUAGGAGUGAAAUCCGUAGAUAUUGGGAGGAACACCGAUGGCGUAGGCAGAUAACUGGCUCGCUCCUGACACUGAGGCACGAAAGCGUGGGUAGCAAACGGGAUUAGAUACCCGAGUAGUC